AAGGGAGUAUGUGGACCUUCUU
rnacentral:miRNA from 1 species